rnacentral:rRNA from 1 species
CACGUAGGGUGCGAGCGUUGUCCGGAAUUAUUGGGCGUAAAGAGCUCGUAGGCGGUGUGUCGCGUCGGCCGUGAAAACCUGCAGCUUAACUGUGGGCUUGCGGUCGAUACGGGCAUCACUGGAGUUCGGCAGGGGAGACUGGAAUUCCUGGUGUAGCGGUGAAAUGCGCAGAUAUCAGGGGGAACACCGGUGGCGAAGGCGGGUCUCUGGGCCGCUACUGACGCUGAGGAGCGAAAGCUAGGGGAGCGAACAGG